CGAUCUACCACAUUUCCGUUGUCAAACAGCGGUUCCGCGUCGGCAUAGCGCGUUCGCGGUGGCGUUGCGGCCGCCCGCGAAGACGUUCGACGUCUCGCCCAGCAGCCGCGGUAAUACGUUCCCGGGCCUUGUACACACCGCCCGUCACACCACGAGAGUUGGCAACACCCGAAGUCGGUGAGGUAACCUUUUUGGAGCCAGCCGCCGAAGGUGGGGCCAAUGAUUGGGGUGAAGUCGUAACAAGGUAGCCGUAUCGGAAGGUGCGGCUGGAUCACCUCCUUUCUAAGGAAUUAGAGGAGCGUACUGGUUGAGUUUGUUCAGUUUUGAGAGAUCAAAGGAUCUUUCAAACCGUGAACCUUGAAAACUAGAUAAGAAACAAGACAUUCAACGACAUCAAAUGUAAGACGUCUUUUCACACGUAUAGUGAAGUGAAGAAGGGCGCACGGUGGAUACCUAGGCACACAGAGA
rnacentral:misc_RNA from 1 species